rnacentral:rRNA from 1 species
UGACCUCGGAUCAGGUAGGAAUACCCGCUGAACUUAAGCAUAUCAAUAAGGC